rnacentral:rRNA from 1 species
CCUACGGGAGGCAGCAGUAGGGAAUAUUGCGCAAUGGACGAAAGCCUGACGCAGCGACGCCGCGUGAGGGAUGAAGGUCUUCGGAUCGUAAACCUCUGUCGGCAGGGAAGAACGUUCCCUUAACUAAUCAGCAGUGCCUUGACGGUACCUGCCCAGGCAGCACCGGCUAACUCCGUGCCAGUAGCCGCGGUAAUACGGAGGGGGCAAGCGUUAAUCGGAAUUACUGGGCGUAAAGCGCUCGUAGGCGGUAUGUCAAGUCAAGGGUGAAAUCCCCGAGCUCAACGUGGGAACGGCAUUUGAAACUGGCAAACUGGAGUGUGUGAGAGGAGAGUGGAAUUCCAGGUGUAGGAGUGAAAUCCGUAGAUAUCUGGAGGAACAUCAGUGGCGAAGGCGACUAGCUGGAACAUAACUGACGCUGAGGAGCGAAAGCGUGGGUAGCAAACAGGAUUAGAUACCCCAGUAGUC